CGGCCGUCUAGGCGUCUACAAAGUAAAGCUUUGUUUGUUCAUUAUUUCCCCGGCUAGAUCUAGAAAUUUCUGUCAAAAUUCUUUCCUGAUUUGACGGUAGUUUCUUCAACAGUAUUGUCAUCUCUUACAGAUCUGAACACUAUUAUUACUUCUACUCUGAUUAUUCCACUGGAACUGCCUGAAGAAGAAGCUGAAACCAUUUCUGUUGUUCUUGAUGAUUCACCCGCACAAUCAUUUUUCCUCUCAAAACUCAAGUUUAAAGCCUUUCUGUAUAGUUUACAACUGAAGAGUUUGCUUCUGUUCAUUCUGGGUAUUUGGUUUUGUAAAGACACCCUCUCUGGAGUGUUUUCCUGGGUAGAACCCUGAUCUAAUUCACAAAAGAAACGAACUCUGAAGUACAACACAGAUAAUCUGUUGAUUUUUGAUUUUGGGUUUUGAUUCAUUUGGAGUUGUUUAUAGGGUACUCUUGAAAAUGGUUAAAAAACUCAAGCGGCAACGUCUACAAAUGAUGGGCAUGUUUACUAUUUAAUGUGGAAACCUGAGCAAUUUUUCAAACCUCUGCAGCAAUAUUUCAGACAUUAGCAGGGCUGUGAUCCUGACUUGUGAGACCAUAACUUUCAAUAACACUAACCAAGGGGCUCUAUGUGCAGCAGUGCAAGAAUUUAACUGGGAAAUGGAAUUCAACUCGAUGUUGUGUCUUGGGGGACACUUAUAGUUAUAUGUGGGCAUUGUAAAACUGGGAAGUCAGUCUUGCUUGCUCUGAAGUUGCAUAGGGAGAUGGGGAAUUGAAACUGCCUUCCAAAUGGGGAUUUUGCAAACAACUUAAGUCGCAGGAAGAAGACCUGCAGUUUCGUAUUGUUAUAUGCAGUUGCCUAUUAGACGCAGUUUCGAUUCUUGAACUUUAGGUGGUAAUGAGAUACCUGAAAUGUUUAGGUGCUAUCUAGUCGUUAGAACCUGAAAAUCAAACUGUUAGCUAGAUGCCAUGGAGAUUCAUCAGCGGCGGGAAGUGCGUUUACUUGGCGGCUUGGCCUAAUACCUUAUUUUCUAUAUCCAAAUUCUUCCGGCUGGCGUAUCAUAUCGGCUUGCUACAAUUUCAGCUCCCAUCUCAUUCUCAAUGAGACUGACAGAAUGAGAGAUAUCUAAUAAAGCGUGGGGCUAUUUGUGUGUUGGGAUUUUGGAGAUGAUGUUGGUAAAAAUUGUACCUGCUUGUUCCAACAAUCAUGGACACUUACCAAUAUUAAUGCUUCUUUUAAGAUUCUUGGAGUUUUGAGUUUUUAAAAAGAAAGUUCAAUCAAAGAAUUUGGAAAAUGAGGAAAUUUCCAUGUGGAUGCGAAAACGCGGGUGGUAUGACCAAGGGUGUGAGCAUGGUGCGAAGGAGGCAACUUGUAAGGGCCAAAGAAGUGCAGGGAAACAGUGGUGGAGUCAGGAUCCCAAAACAACAAAUGUAAAAAGUUACGGUAAAUUUAUCUUGAUCGAGUGAAACAACAAAGAUAAGAUAAACAAAAAGUGGUGAUACCCAUGACUCAAUGUAGAAUUUUAUAAGAAGAAUGUCCCUUUACAAUAUUAAUUUCAAACUCACUGUCAUUU